ACAGAAUGCUACUGAGUGGGAUGGAAAUAAGAGAUGAGACAGAUAGGAUACAGAGGGGAAGGAUAAGGUUUGUCAGUGUAACCAUAACUGAUGAAGUAAAAACAGGCUUGGACAAGGGGCGUGAGAGAUUUGAGCAGGAUGACAAAAAAGCUUUGCUCCGAGAGGUCAACAAAUCCUGUCUCACUUUGAGCCUUUGCUUUUACUGGCCACGCUGCUCUUCGUGCCACCUCCAGCACCAGGAAGCAGAUGGGACUUCCUUUCCAUCCGGCUGCUGAGCAGGAAAUGUUUGACUCUUCGACAGCCGUGAACAGACAGCCAAGAGCCACGGUGGAAAAGCACGAGAGGAACUGAUGGGCUCUCCGACACCGCAGCAACUUCCGACUGCCAGGCCACGGAGAUCGCAUACACACUCUCGCAUCCUACCCAAAACUGAGCAUUCUUGAAAGAUUAGAAAUGUUGACCUCGGGUACAAAUGCCGGAAAUGAGACUAAUUAGUCUGGAAAUACAGCUUGAGAAAAAUCAGUUGUUCAUAUUAUCCAGACACCCACUAUGCCAAGAACCAUCCUUGCUCUAGACUAGGUGCCUGCUGUCCCCUUUGUUCUACGAUAUUUUUUUGGUGCCAGUACAUACUGCAUUUUCAUUGUGUAGCCAUCUCCAGUUACAUUUGAAAUUUGAUUUUGCUUUCUUGCUACAUCAAUACAAGGGAGAAGUUUCUUAUCAAGGUACAAAAUAAGCCUGGUCUCAUUGAUGUAUAAAUCUGUAAUACAUUCAAAUUCAGAAUGACCUACUGCAAGUACUGCAAUAUGGGAUAUUUCUGGACUCUAACAGGAAAUUGCAUUAUCUUGAGUUUCCACCUUUCUUGCAAUUAAUUCUAAGCAGAUCUAUAGAUGCAAAUACAACUCCCCCAUAAUAUUAAUACUAAUAUCAAGCAAACAUGAUCACAGAUGGUUCACAGAUCAGCUGAGACUGGAAGGCACCUGUAGAGAUCAUGUAGUACAACCCCCCUAUUCAAAGUAAGGACAACUAGAGCAGGUUGCUCAGAGGCAUGUCCUGAUGAGUUUUGAAUAUCUCCAAAGAUAGAGACUCCACAGGCUCUCUGUGCAACCUCUUUCAGUGUCUGACCACCCUUGCUGUAAAAAAGUUUUUUCUUGUGUUUAAAUGGAAUUUCUUGUGUUUUGGUUUAUGCCUAUCUGUGCCUAUUGCCAUUUGUGUAUUCACUGGAUAACACUGAAAUCUCUAGGUCUCUAGGUGACCCUGCUCUGGCAGGUUGGUUGGACUAGAUGAUCUCCAGAGGGCCCUUCCAACCCUACGAUUCUAUGAUUCUGUGAAAUAACAUAUAUAUAUAAAUAAAUUCAUGAAAUAUUAAGAGCAAAAGGGAUAAAGAAACAAACCAUGAGCCAAACAAAAUGGGAGAUAUUAUAGCUAAUGAAAUUUAUGACACUCUUAAGUUAAGGACAGAAGAGAUUAGUAGACCAUUUCAUAUGAUCCUAUAAAACACAGGCAAAGAAUUCUUAUCAGAGGAUUCUUUUACUGACACUGUAGAUUAUAUGUUGUUGAAAAGGGCAUCUGGUCUUGAUAGCACAGAAAGCAAAAACAGUUACGUAUUGAAAUAAUUAGAAAUGAGAAAACAUUUCUUUUUGCACCCUAAAUUUCCUCCUCUUGCCCUAUGGAUGGAAAUAGGUCCAUCUGGUUUAGGUACUUAAUCAGUUUAUUCAUGUACUUAUUUGCUAGUAUAUAUUUUCAGUUUUGUUUUUUAAAUUCCUGGACUCUGCAUUGAGUAUUACAAAUAAGAUAGUCCUGCAUGAGCAUCCAGUUUAGCCUGAUGUCUGUCAAGGUGGUUGGAAGACUGAGCACUGUGCGGAGAUCCUGCUGAAAUUCUGUUUUAAAGCUUGACUGACUUUUCCACUUCUGACUCUGUUAACUUCUUCGCCAUUCACACUGUCUGCCUUCGUUACACUUUGUGCUGGGUUCUGCUUUGUUUCAGCCUUCAUGACUGUUAGUGAGAUCGCACAUAAUCUGGUUUGCCUCUAAGUAGCUGGUCUCUAGCUUUGUGUAGACCAAUAAACAAGUGGCUGCCCAUUCUCCCCCAGUAUGGAUAUCUAUAUUUUGGGUGUAUAAUGAAGCAGUCUUUCUAUCUAUGGUCAGGACAAGAAGGCUAUCAGUUAUGCUGUACCAUGACCUUAUCUCUUUGCAUGUGCCUUUUAAUUGCUGAAAAAUAAAUUUCCACAGACAUCACUAGCAGCAGAGACUCAUCAGUAUAACGCAAGCCACAGCAGAAUACAAGAAUGGGCUUUAGAGCAGUUUUUUUCCUUAAUUUAAAAAAAACAAACAAACAAAAAAAACAAACCAAAACCAAACCAAAUCAACUUGCUGAACAGGUAAGAACUGAAAUGUAAGUACUGGGAAAUAAGUAGCCUCUAUUUAGCCACAUCACAACUAUUUAUGCCUUUCCAUGUUGCUAAACCAUUCCCAACAGAGCUGACAGCCCUUAAAAACAGAACAAUCAUGGAUUAGUGUCAAUUAAUUACUUUCCGUUUGGCAAAAAUUACAUUAUAUCGUGACUACUGAGGAUGGAAGUAGUUAUAUUUGACAUUCAGUUCUAUCAUUGUAUGAAGCACUCAGAAGCUAUUCCAGUUUUCAAAAAUACACUUAUGUGUAUUGUUAAAGUGUCAUAUUAACAAAUACCUGCCCUGAGGUACUGACUUGCAGUAACUAUUUCUUUUAUGUGAAUUAUUGUUUAUCUCCUUCUAAAUCCCAGAUAAAUAUCUGAAAUAUUUUGAGCUGUCCAGUACUAGAGAGGUAAAUCAUAAGAAAUGAAUUCACCUAUUCAUAUUCCAAUUUCCUUUUCUAUUACAUAAACCCAGAUAUUUGCCAAAGAAAUAUCUACACAGUGUGUGAAUCCAACCCUGUGACUAUUUUAACACUGUCCAGCAGUACAGCAAUUCAGAGCUCAUAUGCUUUUGCAUUUGCCGUGGUUGACUUGCAUUAACUAUGAUGGCAUUUUUGUAAUGUGGACUCACACCUCGUAAUAACUAACUUGAAGAAAGGUGUUAGAUCUAAUUGCAUACCAUCACCAGCUCUCUUCCAUUAUUAUUUAGAAGAAACAUUAGAGAGCUGAUGAUGGAAACCAGCAGGCAGAAUUACCAGUUUAUGUGUGUAAAAUUUGUGAUACUGACUCAAGCAGAUUCUGGCAGUCCAGAUGAAAAGAAUUUCUCAAUGCAGUUGUAGGAAAAAAGCAACUAGUUCAAAGAUGUUCCAUCAGAUGACAAAGAUAAGGACAACAUUUAUUUUUAUCUACAUCUAAUAUGACAGUAGAGUAUUAGAAGCACUUCAAAUAUCUCUGCUGCAAUUACCUAAAUUAAAAGGUAUACUAACCACCUCUUAGAAGCUCACCAUUGAGAUGAGUUCUUAAUUUCUAGUAUUUUAAGAUUCAGUCACAUCUGAAGAAGCAGAGGUUUUCCCAUGAAAGAUAAAUUGAAACUUCACCAGUCACUUGCUGUCAACAUUUUAAUGUAUAUGGUAGGUGUGGUAGGUGUGCUUUAAAGAAACAGGACAUUAAGAAGCCUUCUGCUUUUCAGUGAAAAUGCUUCAGAAGACUGCUGCACAUUAGUCUCAAAUGUGAAUAUGAAGGCAAGUGCCCAAAUUUACAGCCUAAUCAGGGUGACAGUUGAUAUCAUCGUAGUUAACAUAAGAUGAAAGUUUUAGUUUACAGAUCAUUUGGUCAUUGAUGCGCUGAGGAAGAUCAAUGUUAAGUAAGUCCUUCAGGGGCCAAUUCUAGGAAGGGAGUGCUACAAAAGACUUUAAAUGGCCUGUAGUUUCAUAGUCCAGUCUUCCUAAGGAAGAAUGCAAAAUAUAGAGGAAAAUUGUUGGGCUAUUGUUAUAUUUUCUGCUCACUAUGAUGGGACUUGGUGCUGCUUGCUGCUGUAUGGUGUAAGGUUAAAAAAAUUACCAAUUUCAUGAAAGAACAGAGGUCAUCAUUACUUAUAAUUUUCUUGUUUAGGUGAGAAUCACAUCUGUUUCCAUUGACAAGACAAUCUGAUGGUUGAUUAGUAACAAUUUAUAUUCCAUUAUAUUCUAACGGAAGUAGAUGUAACAUGAGAAGAUUGAAAAAUAGUCUUCAUGUCACUUAAUUGUCGUUUAGUAUUCAGUAUAAUGAAGACUUAAUUUUACAUGAGUAAGUCCAGAAUGUUGAACAGUUACAGUGGAUCUCUAUUUCUGUCUCUUCGGUGAAGAUAUUUUAUAUGCUAGUUUUGUGAUUUAAAUGACACUAUGUCUAAAAUGUUUCCAAUUUAAUUAAUUAUUUUGUAUUACCAGCAACUCACAGCAAAAUUAAGCAUUCUAGAAUUGCAUCUUGUUUAUCUGUUAUAGAAACACUAUGCUAUCAAAUAUAUAUACCAAUAAAAAGCCAAAGCCUCUUGAGC